rnacentral:tRNA from 1 species
UGUUCUGUGGCGGAGUUUGCUAACGCGCCCUGUCUAGCGAACUUGGGAAGACGUGGGUUCAAACCCCACCAGAACUA